UACUGAGUGUUCACGCUUGACUCGGAAUCACUGGGCGUAAAGGGUGCGUAGGCGGGUUAUCAAGUCUCGAGUGAAAUCCAACGGCUUAACCGUUGAACUGCUUGGGAAACUGGUAGCCUAGAGUGAGGGAGAGGCAGAUGGAAUUGGUGGUGUAGGGGUAAAAUCCGUAGAGAUCACCAGGAAUACCCAUUGCGAAGGCGAUCUGCUGGAACUCAACUGACGCUGAGGCACGAAAGCGUGGGGAGCAAACAGGAUGAGAUAACCGCGUAGUCC
rnacentral:rRNA from 1 species